ensembl:lncRNA
CCGCGCCGCAUCCACGGACGCGCAGUGCCCUCUGCCGGGGCCACGCGGCCGCCGCCGGAGCCUCUCGGUUGCCACGGAAACGGGGCCGUCCCCAACAGAGAUGGCACUCCGCUCUCCCUGCGUCCUGCAUCGUGCAUUGUACACGCUGCGCUGUGCAUUGUGCACGGGGAGCUCUGACACGGUGCCCUUCCCGGAGCUGCCAAGCAGGGUCGCACGGCGCCUCCCGGGCUCUCCCAUCAGCACAGCGGACUCGUUUCCUUUUAAGCACUGAAUGUGCUGAUCGGCAGCGGGGAGAUGAGCUCCGAGCACAGGGCGGGGGUGGGGGGGAACUGUCCUUUGGUUCUUCCAGAGCAGCUCCGCUCCAGCGCGGCUGCAUGCCGGCAGUGGGGACAGGAGCACAAUGAGCAGCGCUCUGCCCUCUGCAAUCUCCCCUGGGCGGUGCAAGCAGCUGCAGGCAGCACGGCGUGCGGGCCAUGCAUAGCACUGCAGGCGGUGCACGGCAUAGGUGGCACACAGUGCACGCAGAGCAGGACACAGUUCAUGGCGCUGCGGGCACUGCAGGGAGAGCCAUGCGCAGUGCUGCAGGUAGAGAACGGUGCUGCAGGGAAUGCAUGGUGCUGCGGGCAGUGCACGGUGCUGUGGGCAGUGCCCUGCGGAUGCACCAUGCUGCAGCACUGCACGGAAUCUCUCUCCUGACUCCUCCUCGCAGCUCGGGGCUGUUGCACAUUUGUUCCACUCACAAAACCCCAAUUGCUGUGUUGAUGAGGAAGUAAGAAGGUACCCUGUGGAACAAGGGGAGGUGUGCUGAGGAGGUGGAGAUGCUGAGUGCCUUCUUUGGUACAGUUCUCACUUCCAAGACCGCCCUCUUGGGACCCCGGGGGGAACAGGGAGAGUCCAGGAAUGGAGAGCUGCCCUCUGGGUGAGGGGGGGGUCCUGGAGCUGCUGGGUGGGAGCAGUAUGCAGAUCUGCAGAAAGGGUAGGAAGGAGGAUCCAGGAAACCGCAGGCAGUCAGCCUCACCUCUGUGCCUGGAAAGGCCAUGGAGCAGCGUGUUCUGGGUGCCAUCUCCAGGCAAUUGGAGGAGAAGGUCAUCAGGAGCAGUCAGCAUGGGUUCACCAAGGGGAAAUCGAGCUUGACCAACCUCGUAGCCUUCUAUGAUGGCAUCACCAGCCGGGUAGGUGCGGGGGGAGCAGUGGAUGUCGUCUGCCUCAAUGUCAGCAAGGCUUUUGGUGUUAUCUCCCAUGGCAACCUGAUAACAGAGCUGAGAAGGCCUGGAGCAUCUCCCUGUGGGGGAAGGCUGCAUGACCUGGAGCUGCUCGGCCUGGGGAAGACUGAGAAAGAAUGUGAUUAGUGCUUAUAUUCAGUGUGGGAGACAAAGGGACAUGGCCAACCUCAUCUCAGUGGUCUGUGGGGACAGGACAGGGGGAAAUGGCCACAAACUGGAGCACAGGAAGUUCCGCACCAAAAUGUGAAGGAACUUCUUCAUGGUGAGGGUGAUGGAGCACUGGGAUGGGCUGCCCAGGGAGGUGUGGGGUCUCCUUCAAUGGAAGUAUUCAGGACCCGCCUGCAUGCUGAGCUGUGCAGCCUGCUGUGGGAGCAGCUCCCCCCAGGGCGAUGUCCCAGCCCCCCUAAGUCCUGCCCUGUUUGAUCACUGCCUUUAUUUACUGUCUAUUGUGGGGGCAAAGGCAAAUGCAAGUUGUGCUUUGCUUUGAGGACUGAUCCUGUUGGUUUUUCCUAAGGGCAUUCCAUGCACUGUGGCCUGCUGACUGGGUCCCACAGGUCGGCUGCAGGCCAGCCAGAAGCUGCUUGGCCCUGGGCAGGACCCUAAAUAUUGCAGAGGCUGCACCAAGUGUGGCACUGCAGCCAGGACAGCAUUAGCACAGCCACUGUGCUGCAUCCUGCCACCAGCAGAUGGAGGUCAGCCAUCCAUCCCUGCCAUGCAGAAGUGGGCAUUAACUUCCCCAGAGGGAAAGAGAGAAGCAUAACAAACGAGCUGAGAUGUCUCAGACCAUCCUGCAAGGGUCCCAUCCCAUCUCAUCCUAUCACACCCAAUCUCAUCCCACCCCCAUCCCCAUUCCAGCCCAUCCCAUCUCAUCCUAUCCCAUCCCCAUUCCCACCCCCACCCUCAUUCCCAUCCCUAUACCCAUCUCUAUCCCACCCCAUCCCAUCCCAUCCCCAUCCCCAUCCC